GGAGGAGCAACAGACAGUGGGAAUGAUGGCUGCUGUUGGUGUCGUUUUCAAAAAGUUACUAGUGAUUUUUGGGAGCCUCAGUUUUGGGGAAAUGUCUAAAUUCUUUGAUUUGGAAUUAAAGCAGAUUCCUGCAUGGUGCCACUUAUGAGAGCAUUGCAUGUGAAGGAGGAGACUUCAACCCAAAUGAUUCAAACAUGAGUGCCGAUGCAGAACAGUGACACAUCCCUGUGGUUGGAGAGUGGAAAACUGAAUUUCCUGCUCCCACCCUGCGGGAGCACUUCAAAUUUCAGCAGUCAGCAUUGUGUAUGUUGUAAUGAUGUGCUUGAAUAAACAAGG